CCUACGGGCGGCAGCAGUGAGGAAUAUUGGUCAAUGGACGCAAGUCUGAACCAGCCAUGCCGCGUGCAGGAUGACGGCCCUAUGAGUUGUAAACUGCUUUUGUACGAGGGUAAACCCCGAUACGUGUAUCGGGUUGAAAGUAUCGUACGAAUCAGGAUCGGCUAACUCCGUGCCAUCAGCCGCGGUAAUACGGAGGAUACGAGCGUUAUCCGGAUUGAGUGGGUUUAAAGGGUGCGUAGGCGGUUUGAUAAGUUAGAGGUGAAAUGUCGGGGCUCAACCCCGGAACGGCCUCGAAUACUGUGGGACUAGAGUGUAGGUGAGGUAGGCGGAAUGUAUGGUGUAGGGGUGAAAUGCUUAGAGAUCAUACAGAACACCGAUUGCGAAGGCAGCUUACCAAACUAUAUCUGACGUUGAGGCACGAAAGCGUGGGUAGCAAACAGGAUUAGAUACCCUAGUAGUC
rnacentral:rRNA from 1 species